AUUGAACGCUGGCGGCAGGCCUAACACAUUCAAGUCGAGCGAGCGGCCGACGGGUGAGUAAUGUAUGGGGACUGCCCGAUAGAGGGGGCUAACUACUGGAAACGGUGGCUAAUACCGCAUACUGUCGGAUAACCCAUAUGGGAUUAGCUAGUAGGUAAGGUAAUGGCUUACCUAGGCGACGAGCCCUAGAUGGUCUGAGAGGAUGAUCAGCAACACUGGGACUGAGAAACGGCCCAGACUCCUACGGAGGCAGCAGCUGGGAAUAUUGAGCAAUGGGGGUAAGACUGAUGGAGACAGGCCGCGUGUAUGAAGGAGGCAAUAGGGUUGUACAGUAGUUUCAGUAGGGAGGCGUUCCCGAAAGAAGAAGCACCGGCUAACUCCGUGCCAGCAGCCGCGGUAAUUC
rnacentral:rRNA from 1 species